ACACGUCCUGCAUGGGGUCCCGAUGCUUAACCCCAGAUUCCAUAACGUGAAGUAGAUGACAGUCUACGACUCACCCUGGACAGGAUCUCAGUCCAUCACCAGUUACUUCCCCAAUCAAGGCUGGUAC